UACGAAGGGGGCUAGCGUUGUUCGGAUUUACUGGGCGUAAAGCGCACGUAGGCGGAUGGUUAAGUCAGGGGUGAAAUCCCGCAGCUCAACUGCGGAACUGCCUUUGAUACUGGCCAUCUCGAGUCCGGAAGAGGUGAGUGGAACUCCUAGUGUAGAGGUGGAAUUCGUAGAUAUUAGGAAGAACACCAGUGGCGAAGGCGGCUCACUGGUCCGGAACUGACGCUGAGGUGCGAAAGCGUGGGGAGCAAACAGG
rnacentral:rRNA from 1 species